GAUGAAGAACGCAGCGAAAUGCGAUAAGUAAUGUGAAUUGCAGAAUUCAGUGAAUCAUCGAAUCUUUGAACGCACCUUGCGCCCUUUGGCCAUUCCGAAGGGCAUGCCUGUUUGAGUAUCAUGAACACCUCAACUCUUCAUGGUUUUCCGUGAUGAGCUUGGACUUUGGGGGUCUUGCUGGCCUAUGGUCAGCUCCUCUAAAAUAAAUCAGCUUGCCAGUGUUUGGUGGGUAUCACAGGUGUGAUAACUAUCUACGCUUGUGGUUUUCCACCAGGUAACCUUCAGCAGUGGAGGUUCGCUGGAGCUCACAGAUGUGUCUCUCCUCAGUGAGGACAGCUCUUUGAAUGUUUGAUCUCAAAUCAGGUAGGACUACCCGCUGAACUUAAGCAUAUCAAUAAGCAGAGGA
rnacentral:misc_RNA from 1 species